rnacentral:rRNA from 1 species
GGGUUGUGAGGUUAAGCGACUAAGCGUACACGGUGGAUGCCCUGGCAGUCAGAGGCGAUGAAGGACGUGCUAAUCUGCGAUAAGCGUCGGUAAGGUGAUAUGAACCGUCAUAACCGGCGAUUUCCGAAUGGGGAAACCCAGUGUGUUUCGACACACUAUCAUUAACUGAAUCCAUAGGUUAAUGAGGCGAACCGGGGGAACUGAAACAUCUAAGUACCCCGAGGAAAAGAAAUCAACCGAGAUUCCCCCAGUAGCGGCGAGCGAACGGGGAGGAGCCCAGAGCCUGAAUCAGUGUGUGUGUUAGUGGAAGCGUCUGGAAAGGCGCGCGAUACAGGGUGACAGCCCCGUACACAAAAAUGCACAUAUUGUGAGCUCGAUGAGUAGGGCGGGACACGUGGUAUCCUGUCUGAAUAUGGGGGGACCAUCCUCCAAGGCUAAAUACU